rnacentral:rRNA from 1 species
GGUUAAGCGACUAAGCGUACACGGUGGAUGCCCUGGCAGUCAGAGGCGAUGAAGGACGUGCUAAUCUGCGAAAAGCGUCGGUAAGGUGAUAUGAACCGUUAUAACCGGCGAUGUCCGAAUGGGGAAACCCAGUGCAAUUCGUUGCACUAUCGUUAACUGAAUACAUAGGUUAACGAGGCGAACCGGGGGAACUGAAACAUCUAAGUACCCCGAGGAAAAGAAAUCAACCGAGAUUCCCCCAGUAGCGGCGAGCGAACGGGGAGCAGCCCAGAGUCUGAAUCAGCUUGUGUGUUAGUGGAACGGUCUGGAAAGUCCGACGGUACAGGGUGAUAGUCCCGUACACCAAAAUGCACAGGUUGUGAACUCGAAGAGUAGGGCGGGACACGUGGUAUCCUGUCUGAAUAUGGGGGGACCAUCCUCCAAGGCUAAAUACUCCUGACUGACCGAUAGUGAACCAGUACCGUGAGGGAAAGGCGAAAAGAACCCCGGCGAGGGGAGUGAAAAAGAACCUGAAACCGUGUACGUACAAGCAGUGGGAGCACCUUCGGGUGUGACUGCGUACCUUUUGUAUAAUGGGUCAGCGACUUAUAUUCUGUAGCAAGGUUAACCGUAUAGGGGAGCCGCAGGGAAACCGAGUCUUAACUGGGCGUUAAGUUGCAGGGUAUAGACCCGAAACCCGGUGAUCUAGCCAUGGGCAGGUUGAAGGUUGGGUAACACUAACUGGAGGACCGAACCGACUAAUGUUGAAAAAUUAGCGGAUGACUUGUGGCUGGGGGUGAAAGGCCAAUCAAACCGGGAGAUAGCUGGUUCUCCCCGAAAGCUAUUUAGGUAGCGCCUCGUGAACUCAUCUUCGGGGGUAGAGCACUGUUUCGGCUAGGGGGUCAUCCCGACUUACCAACCCGAUGCAAACUACGAAUACCGAAGAAUGUUAUCACGGGAGACACACGGCGGGUGCUAACGUCCGUCGUGAAGAGGGAAACAACCCAGACCGCCAGCUAAGGUCCCAAAGUCAUGGUUAAGUGGGAAACGAUGUGGGAAGGCACAGACAGCCAGGAUGUUGGCUUAGAAGCAGCCAUCAUUUAAAGAAAGCGUAAUAGCUCACUGGUCGAGUCGGCCUGCGCGGAAGAUGUAACGGGGCUAAACCAUGCACCGAAGCUGCGGCAGCGACACUAUGUGUUGUUGGGUAGGGGAGCGUUCUGUAAGCCUGCGAAGGUGUGCUGUGAGGCAUGCUGGAGGUAUCAGAAGUGCGAAUGCUGACAUAAGUAACGAUAAAGCGGGUGAAAAGCCCGCUCGCCGGAAGACCAAGGGUUCCUGUCCAACGUUAAUCGGGGCAGGGUGAGUCGACCCCUAAGGCGAGGCCGAAAGGCGUAGUCGAUGGGAAACAGGUUAAUAUUCCUGUACUUGGUGUUACUGCGAAGGGGGGACGGAGAAGGCUAUGUUAGCCGGGCGACGGUUGUCCCGGUUUAAGCAUGUAGGCUGGUUAUCCAGGCAAAUCCGGAUAAUCAAGGCUGAGGUGUGAUGACGAGGCACUACGGUGCUGAAGUAACAAAUGCCCUGCUUCCAGGAAAAGCCUCUAAGCAUCAGGUAACAUUAAAUCGUACCCCAAACCGACACAGGUGGUCAGGUAGAGAAUACCAAGGCGCUUGAGAGAACUCGGGUGAAGGAACUAGGCAAAAUGGUGCCGUAACUUCGGGAGAAGGCACGCUGGUGUGUAGGUGAAGUCCCUGCGGAUGGAGCUGAGACCAGUCGAAGAUACCAGCUGGCUGCAACUGUUUAUUAAAAACACAGCACUGUGCAAACACGAAAGUGGACGUAUACGGUGUGACGCCUGCCCGGUGCCGGAAGGUUAAUUGAUGGGGUUAUCCGUAAGGAGAAGCUCUUGAUCGAAGCCCCGGUAAACGGCGGCCGUAACUAUAACGGUCCUAAGGUAGCGAAAUUCCUUGUCGGGUAAGUUCCGACCUGCACGAAUGGCGUAAUGAUGGCCAGGCUGUCUCCACCCGAGACUCAGUGAAAUUGAACUCGCUGUGAAGAUGCAGUGUACCCGCGGCAAGACGGAAAGACCCCGUGAACCUUUACUAUAGCUUGACACUGAACAUUGAGCCUUGAUGUGUAGGAUAGGUGGGAGGCUUUGAAGCGUGGACGCCAGUCUGCGUGGAGCCAACCUUGAAAUACCACCCUUUAAUGUUUGAUGUUCUAACGUUGGCCCCUUACCGGGGUUGCGGACAGUGUCUGGUGGGUAGUUUGACUGGGGCGGUCUCCUCCCAAAGCGUAACGGAGGAGCACGAAGGUUAGCUAAUCCUGGUCGGACAUCAGGAGGUUAGUGCAAUGGCAUAAGCUAGCUUGACUGCGAGCGUGACGGCGCGAGCAGGUGCGAAAGCAGGUCAUAGUGAUCCGGUGGUUCUGAAUGGAAGGGCCAUCGCUCAACGGAUAAAAGGUACUCCGGGGAUAACAGGCUGAUACCGCCCAAGAGUUCAUAUCGACGGCGGUGUUUGGCACCUCGAUGUCGGCUCAUCACAUCCUGGGGCUGAAGUAGGUCCCAAGGGUAUGGCUGUUCGCCAUUUAAAGUGGUACGCGAGCUGGGUUUAGAACGUCGUGAGACAGUUCGGUCCCUAUCUGCCGUGGGCGCUGGAGAAUUGAGGGGGGCUGCUCCUAGUACGAGAGGACCGGAGUGGACGCAUCACUGGUGUUCGGGUUGUCAUGCCAAUGGCACUGCCCGGUAGCUAAAUGCGGAAGAGAUAAGUGCUGAAAGCAUCUAAGCACGAAACUUGCCCCGAGAUGAGUUCUCCCUGAGACUUUAAGUCUCCUGAAGGAACGUUAAAGACGAUGACGUUGAUAGGCCGGGUGUGUAAGCGCAGCGAUGCGUUGAGCUAACCGGUACUAAUGAACCGUGAGGCUUAACCUU